UCAAGCGAACAAGUGCAUGUGGUGGAUGCCUUGGCGAUCACAGGCGAUGAAGGACGCGGUAGCCUGCGAAAAGCUACGGGGAGCUGGCAAACGAGCUUUGAUCCGUAGAUGUCCGAAUGGGGAAACCCACUCCUUUUGGAGUAUCCAUGACUGAAUACAUAGGUCAUGUGAAGCGAACGCGGUGAACUGAAACAUCUAAGUAACCGCAGGAAAAGAAAUCAACCGAGAUUCCCAAAGUAGUGGCGAGCGAAAUGGGAAGAGCCUGUACUCUUUAUUUGUAUUGUUAGCCGAACGCUCUGGAAAGUGCGGCCAUAGCAGGUGAUAGCCCUGUAGGCGAAAACAGUAUGAAAGAACUAGGUGUACGACAAGUAGGGCGGGACACGUGAAAUCCUGUCUGAAGAUGGGGGGACCAUCCUCCAAGGCUAAAUACUCGUGAUCGACCGAUAGUGAACCAGUACCGUGAGGGAAAGGUGAAAAGAACCCCGGGAGGGGAGUGAAAUAGAUCCUGAAACCGCAUGCAUACAAACAGUCGGAGCCUCGUAAGGGGUGACGGCGUACCUUUUGUAUAAUGGGUCAGCGACUUACGUUCAGUAGCAAGCUUAACCGAAUAGGGCAGGCGUAGCGAAAGCGAGUCCGAAUAGGGCGUUCAGUUGCUGGGCGUAGACCCGAAACCAAGUGAUCUAUCCAUGGCCAGGAUGAAGGUGCGGUAACACGUACUGGAGGUCCGAACCCACUAACGUUGAAAAGUUAGGGGAUGAGCUGUGGAUAGGGGUGAAAGGCUAAACAAACUUGGAAAUAGCUGGUUCUCUCCGAAAACUAUUUAGGUAGUGCCUCGUGUCUCACCUUCGGGGGUAGAGCACUGUCAUGGUUGGGGGGUCUAUUGCAGAUUACCCCGCCAUAGCAAACUCCGAAUACCGAAGAGUGCAAUCACGGGAGACAGACAUCGGGUGCUAACGUCCGGUGUCAAGAGGGAAACAACCCAGACCGCCAGCUAAGGUCCCCAAAUAUGGCUAAGUGGGAAACGAAGUGGGAAGGCUAAAACAGUCAGGAGGUUGGCUUAGAAGCAGCCACCCUUUAAAGAAAGCGUAAUAGCUCACUGAUCGAGUCGUCCUGCGCGGAAGAUGUAACGGGGCUAAGCCAUAUACCGAAGCUGCGGAUGCGAGCUAGUCUCGCAUGGUAGGAGAGCGUUCCGUAAGCCUGCGAAGGUGCAUUGUAAAGUGUGCUGGAGGUAUCGGAAGUGCGAAUGCUGACAUGAGUAGCGAUAAAGGGGGUGAAAGGCCCCCUCGCCGUAAGCCCAAGGUUUCCUACGCAACGUUCAUCGGCGUAGGGUGAGUCGGCCCCUAAGGCGAGGCAGAAAUGCGUAGCUGAUGGGAAGCAGGUCAAUAUUCCUGCACCAUUGUUAAAUGCGAUGGGGGGACGGAUCGCGGAAGGUUGUCCGGGUGUUGGAAGUCCCGGUCGCUGCAUUGGAGAAGGCGCUUAGGCAAAUCCGGGCGCGGAAUUCAAGGGUGUGGCGCGAGCUUCUUCGGAAGCGAAGCAAUCGGAAGUGGUUCCAAGAAAAGCCUCUAAGCUUCAGUUUAACAGUGACCGUACCGCAAACCGACACAGGUGGGCGAGAUGAGUAUUCUAAGGCGCUUGAGAGAACUCGGGAGAAGGAACUCGGCAAAUUGGUACCGUAACUUCGGGAUAAGGUACGCCCCUGUAGCUUGACUGGCCUGCGCCAGAAGGGUGAAGGGGUUGCAAUAAACUGGUGGCUGCGACUGUUUAAUAAAAACACAGCACUCUGCAAACACGAAAGUGGACGUAUAGGGUGUGACGCCUGCCCGGUGCCGGAAGAUUAAAUGAUGGGGUGCAAGCUCUUGAUUGAAGUCCCGGUAAACGGCGGCCGUAACUAUAACGGUCCUAAGGUAGCGAAAUUCCUUGUCGGGUAAGUUCCGACCUGCACGAAUGGCGUAACGAUGGCCACACUGUCUCCUCCCGAGACUCAGCGAAGUUGAAGUGUUUGUGAUGAUGCAAUCUCCCCGCGGCUAGACGGAAAGACCCCAUGAACCUUUACUGUAGCUUUGCAUUGGACUUUGAACCGAUCUGUGUAGGAUAGGUGGGAGGCUAUGAAACCGGAACGCUAGUUUCGGUGGAGCCGUCCUUGAAAUACCACCCUGGUUUGUUUGAGGUUCUAACCUUGGCCCGUGAUCCGGGUCGGGGACAGUGCAUGGUAGGCAGUUUGACUGGGGCGGUCUCCUCCCAAAGUGUAACGGAGGAGUACGAAGGUACGCUAGGUACGGUCGGAAAUCGUGCUGAUAGUGCAAUGGCAUAAGCGUGCUUAACUGCGAGACCGACAAGUCGAGCAGGUGCGAAAGCAGGUCAUAGUGAUCCGGUGGUUCUGUAUGGAAGGGCCAUCGCUCAACGGAUAAAAGGUACUCUGGGGAUAACAGGCUGAUACCGCCCAAGAGUUCAUAUCGACGGCGGUGUUUGGCACCUCGAUGUCGGCUCAUCUCAUCCUGGGGCUGUAGCCGGUCCCAAGGGUAUGGCUGUUCGCCAUUUAAAGAGGUACGUGAGCUGGGUUUAAAACGUCGUGAGACAGUUUGGUCCCUAUCUGCCGUGGGCGUUGGAUAUUUGAAGGGGGCUGCUCCUAGUACGAGAGGACCGGAGUGGACGAACCUCUGGUGUACCGGUUGUCACGCCAGUGGCAUCGCCGGGUAGCUAUGUUCGGAAGAGAUAACCGCUGAAAGCAUCUAAGCGGGAAACUCGCCUUAAGAUGAGAUAUCCCCGGGGACUUGAUCCCCUUGAAGGGUCGUUCGAGACCAGGACGUUGAUAGGUCAGGUGUGUAAGCGCAGUAAUGCGUUCAGCUAACUGAUACUAAUUGCCCGUAAGGCUUGAUCCU
rnacentral:rRNA from 2 species